rnacentral:rRNA from 1 species
GACGAACGCUGGCGGCGUGCCUAAUACAUGCAAGUUGAGCGAUGAAGAUUUGUGCUUGCACCAAUUUGAAGAGCAGCGAACGGGUGAGUAACGCGUGGGUAAUCUGCCUUUGAGCGGGGGACAACAUUUGGAAACGAAUGCUAAUACCGCAUAACAACUUUAAACAUAAGUUUUAAGUUUGAAAGAUGCAAUUGCAUCACUCAAAGAUGAUCCCGCGUUGUAUUAGCUAGUUGGUGAGGUAAAGGCUCACCAAGGCGAUGAUACAUAGCCGACCUGAGAGGGUGGUCGGCCACAUUGGGACUGAGACACGGCCCAAACUCCUACGGGAGGCAGCAGUAGGGAAUCUUCGGCAAUGGACGAAAGUCUGACCGAGCAACGCCGCGUGAGUGAAGAAGGUUUUCGGAUCGUAAAACUCUGUUGGUAGAGAAGAACGUUGGUGAGAGUGGAAAGCUCAUCAAGUGACGGUAACUACCCAGAAAGGGACGGCUAACUACGUG